GUUUGCCAAAAAGUUCGUUUGGGUUUUUCUGUAAGAUAUUCAGGAAAACCCAAAGGGACUUUUUGGCCAACCC
rnacentral:miRNA from 1 species